UGGGGAAUAUUGCACAAUGGGGGAAACCCUGAUGCAGCAACGCCGCGUGAGUGAAGAAGUAUUUCGGUAUGUAAAGCUCUAUCAGCAGGGAAGAAAAUGACAGUACCUGACUAAGAAGCCCCGGCUAACUACGUGCCAGCAGCCGCGGUAAUACGUAGGGGGCAAGCGUUAUCCGGAUUUACUGGGUGUAAAGGGAGCGUAGACGGCUGUGCAAGUCAGAAGUGAAAGCCCGGGGCUCAACCGCGGGACUGCUUUUGAAACUGUGUAGCUGGAGUGCAGGAGAGGUAAGUGGAAUUCCUAGUGUAGCGGUGAAAUGCGUAGAUAUUAGGAGGAACACCGGUGGCGAAGGCGGCUUACUGGACUGUAACUGACGUUGAGGCUCGAAAGCGUGGGGAGCAAACAGGAUUAGAUACC
rnacentral:rRNA from 1 species